GAUCCCUUGGCUCAAUUGUAGAGCGUUUGACUCAAAUUCCAAAUGUGGUGGGUUCGAAUCCCAGGUGUUA
rnacentral:tRNA from 1 species